UUUAAUCACUACAAACAAAUCACCUGUGCUGGUUGUUGAGUAAGAAAUUGUAGAAGCGUCUUCUCUCGAACUCGAGACUACCAUUGUAGUAUAUG